UACGUAGGUGGCAAGCGUUGUCCGGAUUUACUGGGCGUAAAGCGCGCGCAGGCGGUCGAUCAAGUCCCGUGUGAAAGCCCCCGGCUCAACUGGGGAGGGUCACGCGAUACUGAUCGACUCGAAGGCAGGAGAGGGUAGUGGAAUUCCCGGUGUAGUGGUGAAAUGCGUAGAUAUCGGGAGGAACACCAGUGGCGAAGGCGACUACCUGGCCUGUUCUUGACGCUAAGGCGCGAAAGCUAGGGGAGCAAACGGG
rnacentral:rRNA from 1 species